GAUGAACGCUGGCGGCGUGCCUAAUACAUGCAAGUCGAGCGAACAGAUGAGGAGCUUGCUCCUCUGACGUUAGCGGCGGACGGGUGAGUAACACGUGGAUAACCUACCUAUAAGACUGGGAUAACUUCGGGAAACCGGAGCUAAUACCGGAUAAUAUAUUGAACCGCAUGGUUCAAUAGUGAAAGACGGUUUUGCUGUCACUUAUAGAUGGAUCCGCGCCGCAUUAGCUAGUUGGUAAGGUAACGGCUUACCAAGGCAACGAUGAGUAGCCGACCUGAGAGGGAGAUGGGACACUGUGGAACUGAGACACGCCCCAGACCCACACGGGAGGCCGCAGUAGAGAAUCUUCCGCAAGGGGCGAAAGCCUGACGGAGCAACGCCGCGUGAGUGAUGAAGGUCUUCGGAUCGGAAAACUCUGUUAUUAGGGAAGAACAAAUGUGUAAGUAACUAGGCACGUCGUGACGGUACCUAAACAGAAAGCCAGGGCUAACUACG
rnacentral:rRNA from 1 species